GCCGACACUGCAGGUGGACGAGGACAGUGUGACGAGCGGAGAGCAGCGGCUCACAUCAGGGAGCUUCCAUGGUGACAGCAUUAUUGUCUCUGAUGAGGACUGCACCCCAGAGCCAAGCACAGACCGGGACAGGACCAGGGUCGAGGCGAGGCAGAGGAAGGAGGGCUGCCGGGGUCCGAGGAAGAAGAGGCAGGACGGGGAGGACGAGGUGCAAGCCAAGGAGCACAUCUUCAAGGACCUGCGUCGAACUUCACCUCCAACAACAGCAUAUGAACAGGCCAGAAUCUGACGACUGUGGACAACAUCCAGACUACAGUGUUUCCAUGCACCACACAUGGCUGAUCUUCCAGACCCAGGAUAGAGUAACAGACAGUUCAGUCAGGCAGCAUACAGACAGUUUGUAGUGUGGCAGCGUGGAGCACUUGGUUACAGAGUCGUGAUACUAAGUUGCUGUUUCUGGAAGAUAUGCAACUGUUCUCCUGAUCCACCAGGACAAUACAGAGAUUUAAUCCUAGCAGGGUGUAAGAUGUAAUGUCACUAACUGCUACACGAAUAAUUCCCUCCACUGUGUGA